CUAAAACUUUCAACAACGGAUCUCUUGGUUCUGGCAUCGAUGAAGAACGCAGCGAAAUGCGAUAAGUAAUGUGAA
rnacentral:rRNA from 1 species